rnacentral:tRNA from 1 species
GGGCGCUUAGCGCAGGGGUAGCGCGUCUGCUUUGCAUGCAGAAGGUCGUGGGUUCAAAUCCCACAGUGUCCA